rnacentral:rRNA from 1 species
UACGUAGGUGGCAAGCGUUGUCCGGAUUUACUGGGCGUAAAGGAUGCGUAGGCGGACAUUUAAGUCAGAUGUGAAAUACCCGAGCUUAACUUGGGUGCUGCAUUUGAAACUGGGUGUCUAGAGUGCAGGAGAGGGUAAGUGGAAUUCCUAGUGUAGCGGUGAAAUGCGUAGAGAUUAGGAAGAACACCAGUGGCGAAGGCGACUACUGGACUGUAACUGACGCUGAGGCAUGAAAGCGUGGGGGAGCAAACAGG